UGAUGUGAUUGGUAGAUGUGAAAAUUGAGAGGAGAGGACACAAGAGUAAAAGGUCUCUAUAUUUCGCCUCACUUCCUUUCUCCAGUACCUUUUGUGGCAGAGAGGUGGCUGGUGGCAGCGUGCUGGGCCUUUUGGCAUCUUGGUGUGGCUACAGCUAUUGUCCGGUUUAGUGGUGAGUUUCUGGCUGAGUUUUUCUUCCUUUACUUUCCAAACUUUAUCCUCUUAGAAGCCUCUAAUCUCCUUCAGAGACCUAGUGGCAGAGAUCUUGAACUCUCCCUGGCACAGGCCAGGUGGGAGAAAUCCUAUACCCUCUUCUCUCUUUUCUCUCUCUUCUCUCUCCUCUCUCUUUCUCUCUCUCUUCUCUCUCUCCUCUCUCUCUUUCUCUCCUCUCCUCUCUUUUCUCUCUCUCUCCUCUCUCUCUCUCUCCUUCUCUGUCUUUUUCUCUCUCUCUCUCCCAGUCUCUCUUUCUCCCUCCUGUCUCUCUUCCUCUCUCUCUUAUCUCUGUCUCUCUCUUAUCUCUGUCUCUCUCUUUGUGAAAUAGGCUCCAGAUUCCUUCUCCUACCAUAUCCAGUCUGUUCUCUAACCUAG
rnacentral:lncRNA from 1 species